rnacentral:tRNA from 1 species
GGGCCCAUGGUGAAGUUGGGAUCAUACGACAAUGGCAUUGUCGAGUCAGCGGUUCGAUUCCGCUUGGGUCCACCA